GCCUCAGUAGCUCAGCUGGUAGAGCAACGCUCUUGUAAAGCGAAGGUCAGCGGUUCGAGUCCGCUCUGAGGCU
rnacentral:tRNA from 1 species